GCUAGAAUGAACGGAUAAACGAAAUAAAAACUGUCUCAAUCAACAAACCUAAAAAUUAAUAUCUACAUGAAGAACUGUAGAUAAAAUCGAAGGACAAGAAGACCCUAUAGAGCUUUAUUUAAACCACAGAAUAUAACUGUAUAAAAAUUCGGUUGGGGCGACCUAGGACACUAUAAAACACCCUAAAAAACAAAGAUAAAUAAAUCUACUAAAUGACCCUUUAUAAGAUCACAAGAUCAAGCUACCUUAGGGAUAACAGGCUAAUCCCAUUUAAGAGUCCAUAUCAAUAAUGGGGUUUGGCACCUCGAUGUUGGCUUA
rnacentral:rRNA from 1 species